AAGCUCCUUGGUGACCUUAUCUCUCAUCAACCGGGCGACCCCGAAGUUCCCUGACCCAAUAUCCCGGACGAAAUCGUACCGGUCACUGUCGUGCAAGAUCGGCAAAUCCAUACCGGGUCCCACGGUUAUCGUCGACCGAUCCAUUUUCCACGGAUUUGCCCCUCUACCAAACUCAGUGAUCACAUUAGAUAACUUCAACGCAACGACUAUUUCCUGCUCAACCACAAGUCAACACAGAUGGCAAUAAUAAGAAACUAAGGCACGGAUUGUAGAUCGGUGACUCGGUUUGCUUGAAGUCAGUGAGCUGAAGAGGCAGCAAACGUUUCCAGUGGGAAGAGAAAUUUAACGCUUCCAGUGGGAAGAGAGAUUUUUGAUCGGCGACGGUUUAAUAUCCGAGUGUAUGUGCUUCUGUAACAGUGAAAGGAGAGAGAGGACCUUUUGGGUUUUGAAGAAAGGAAGUGAUGAUGCUAAGGAGAUAUUUACUAGAGAGAAGGUGAAUGAGACAAAAACAGUGGCGUUAGUUGCAGCAGC
rnacentral:misc_RNA from 1 species